CCUACGGGGGGCAGCAGUCGAGAAUCAUUCACAAUGGGGGAAACCCUGAUGGUGCGACGCCGCGUGGGGGAAUGAAGGUCUUCGGAUUGUAAACCCCUGUCAUGUGGGAGCAAAUUAAAAAGAUAGUACCACAAGAGGAAGAGACGGCUAACUCUGUGCCAGCAGCCGCGGUAAUACAGAGGUCUCAAGCGUUGUUCGGAAUCACUGGGCGUAAAGCGUGCGUAGGCUGUUUCGUAAGUCGUGUGUGAAAGGCGCGGGCUCAACCCGCGGACGGCACAUGAUACUGCGAGACUAGAGUAAUGGAGGGGGAACCGGAAUGCUCGGUGUAGCAGUGAAAUGCGGAGAUAUCGAGAGGAACACUCGUGGCGAAGGCGGGUUCCUGGACAUUAACUGACGCUGAGGCACGAAGGCCAGGGGAGCGAAAGGGAUUAGAUACCCUGGUAGUC
rnacentral:rRNA from 1 species